CGAAACAUUAUAGAGAGGCUAAUGCUUAUGCAUCUAAAUUGUGGUUUCAGGUAGUGGGACUGUAGAGUCCCGCUAAGGGGCGCCAGAGGCGUCAGGAUCGCUGGUGAAUCACAGUACGCCGCUCCUCGACCAGCUUCUACUUCAGACACUUAAACUUCCAAGACAGCUUCCUUUUACGCUCCCUGUGACCUGGAUCUUUCGUAAGGAAAGGAAGGCCCAUGUCAUGUCACUGAUGCUCCUUCUACAGUGUUGAUCACCAGGCUCAAGACAUGCCUUCCCCAGGCUGAGAGAGGUGAGGAAGCUGCAGGAGAAACUUUUGAGGCUGGCAGAGGUUGGUUGACAAGGUCUGAGGACAGAAGCUGUCUCCGUGACAUCAAGGUGCAAGGCGAAGCAGCAGGAGCUGAUGUGGAAGCUGCUGCAGGUUCUCCAGAAGAUCCGGCUCAGAUGAUUCAUGAGGACGGUGACACUGAACAACAGGUUUACAACGUAGUGAAACAGCCUCUGUUGGAAGAAGAUGCCACCUAGGACUUUCACAGCUACAGAGGCAAAGUCAAUGCCUGGCUUCAAAGCUUCAAAGGACAGGCAGCUGGUGACUUCAAGUGAAGCCAGUGCUCAUUUACUAUUCUGGAAGGCCGAGGGCCCAUAAGGAUGAUGCUAAAUCCAUCCACUCUGCCUGUGCUCGGUACAUGGAACAACAAAGCUUGAAUGACCACACUUCUGCUCACUGAGUGUUUUAAGUCCACUGCUCGCUGACAGUGCACGGGUCACCCAUGAGCGCUGAUGGAGAUGGACGACGAGGUGAACGUGGUCUUUGUGCUUGCUCACACAGCAUCCAUUCUGCAGCCCAUGGGUCAAGGAGUCAUUUCAACUUUCAAGUCUUAUUAUUUAAGAAAUGCAUGUUGUAAGGCUAUGGCUGCCGCAGACAGGGAUUCCUCUGAUGGAUCUGGGCAAAGUAAAUUGAAACCUUCUGGAAAGGAGUCACCAUUCUAGGUGCCAUUAAGAUCAUUCGUGACUCACGGGAAGAGGUCAAAAUAGCAACAUGAACAGAAGUUUGGAAGAAUUCGAUCGCAGCCCCCAUGGAGGACCGUGAGGGCUUCCGGACUGUGGUGGCGGAGGUGUCUGUGAGUGUGUGUCGGGGGGAACGGCGAGAGAGCCGGGACUGGAAGAGGAGCCUGGAUAUGGCACUGAAUUGCCGCCGUCUCGUGAGCAGACUUGAACAGAUGAGGAGUUGCUCCUUCCGGAUGAGCAAAGACUAUGGUUUGUUGAGGUGGGAGCCACUCCUGGUGGAGAUGCUGUGAAGAUGCUUGAAAUGACAACAGAGGGGUCAGAACAUGACAUAAACUCAGUUGAUAGAGCAGCGGCAGGGUUUGAGAGGCUUGACUCCAAUUUUGAAAGAAGUUUUGUUGUGAGUAAAGUGCUAUGAAACAGCAUGGCGGGCUGCAGGGAAAUCGGAAGACUCGAUCAACACGGCAGAUUUCAUUGUAUUAUCUUCAGGAAUUGCCGCAGCCACCCCGACCUUCAGCAACCACCGCCCUGAUCAGUCGGCAGCCACCGACAUAGGGACAAGACCCUCCACCGGCAAAAAGAUUAUGACUCGCUGGAAGCGUGGAUGAUGGUUAGCAUUUUUUAGCAAUAAGGUAUUUUUUAAUGAAUACAUCGUUUUGGACAUAAUGCUAUUGCACAUUUCAACAGACUACAGUAUAGUGUAGACAUAACUUUGGAUGCACUGGGAAACCAAAUAAUUCAUUUGACUCGCUUUAUUGUGAUCGUCGCUUUAUCCGGGUGGUCUGGAAGCGAACCUGCAGUAUCUCCAAGGAAUGCCAGCUCAAGUUUGCAUGUGCACUGCGAGUUGUUUUAGGGUGGCAUUCUUUUCAAUUCGUGGCACUUUGUCCUCCUAACAGCGUUGCACGUUUUACUUGCAUUUAUUAUAUUGUAAGAUGCAGUCAUGUCGGAUGUGUGCAUUUACUUAUGUGUAACUAUUAAGGCUACAAGGUGUGUGUCUUCCGUUUUUAUAUUUUUGUAUAGAUUUCUAUGAGCAUGAAGAACCUUUUGAAAUGUACUCAUUAGCUGGAUUACCCAAGUCACCUGAAUGGGAGGAGGCCACCAUGAAAUGAGGAGGAAUACAAAGGGGGAGGUUGAAAAAGCCCACUUCUAGGGAUGGCACUGGUGGGUUCGGUGCUCCCUCUUACCCAGUUAGCGCCUUCCAGGAUUAGACGACCAUAAACUUCUAAAGUGCCCACUCUUUUCAACAUGAUAAUUUUGUGGCUGUAUGAGUAUUUAUGUUAUUUCUAGGCAGAUGUUUCCAAGUAAGGAGAGUGAGGGGAAGUGGUAUCCACAUGCAGCCCUGUGUUGGGUGCUCCCAAACACACUGAGGGCAGUCAGGCGUGGGCCUCCUUCUCACCUAUGGAUGGGGUGGGGGCGGGGGAUGGGUUAGAUCUGAGCGGCAAAUAGGUUCUAUGUCAUGUGUCACUGCAGGUCACAGGAGUAACCCUUCAGGCCCAUUUUCCUUCUCCAGAACUUCCAGCAUAUCUAUAUUCCAGUCAUGGCGGGAUAAUGUUAUAGAGGUCAUGCUUGGGGCUCUUGGUUUUUUCCAUCUCAAAGGUCUGUGUGUCCCCAGACUGGUAUGGCUGGACCCAAAGUGGAAUCGCCUGAACGUCUGGGCACUUUCAGGGUCUCGGUGUUCUAGUAGAGUUCUGUGGGGGCACAACCCUCACAGCCUUGCUGUUUGUCUCUCUCCCACUUCCUUCCAGAGGCCCCGCCCUGUCCCUUCCCUUUCCUGAAAGACGCGAGUGUUUCCUGCCUCUGCUGUCCCUUCUGUGUGGGGCACUGUAUCUUCAGGAGGAGCCAGGAAUUUUUGUCAGUCAAGGUUCAGCUCACCCGUCCCUUUCCCAAGAGGACUUGAGCGCCCAUCCAAAGGAUUAGCCUCAUCAGUGUUUGUCAUGCUUACUCAUUUAAGGUAAGCUGCGUCAGAGGACGAAGCCGAUCCAGUCCAAAUGGCACUUGGCGCUCAAUAGGCACUUGAUACGAUUAGUGAUUGGUGUUCUCUCGUGCUUCUCUCCAGGGGAAGGUGCCACCUUUGAAGAGGUUGUUGGACAAUAUCAAACAAUACAAGGAAGGCCAUUAGGUACAAAAUACUCAUGUAUUUAUGAAUUCAUGACCAAAUUAAAUAUGAAACCUUA